rnacentral:rRNA from 1 species
AACGAACGCUGGCGGCGUGCCUAACACAUGCAAGUCGAGGGAGAAAGUCCGCAAGGAUGAGUAAACCGGCGAACGGGUGCGUAACACGUGGAUAAUCUACCUUCCUGACUGGGAUAACUGGCCGAAAGGCUUGCUAAUACCAGAUAAGCCCACGGGGGCCAAGGCCUCCGAGGGAAAAGGUGGCCUCUGCAAGCAAGCUAUCGCAGGGAGAUGAGUCCGCGGCCCAUCAGCUAGUUGGCGGGGUAAAAGCCCACCAAGGCGACGACGGGUAGCUGGUCUGGGAGGAUGAUCAGCCACACUGGAGCUGAGACACGGUCCAGACUCCGACGGGAGGCAGCAGUGGGGAAUCUUGCGCAAUGGGCGAAAGCCUGACGCAGCAACGCCGCGUGUGUGAUGAAGGUCUUCGGAUCGUAAAACACUGUCGCGAGGGAAGAUACGCCACCGGCUAACAUCCGGUGGCUGAGACGGUACCUCGAGAGGAAGCACCGGCUAACUCUGUGCCAGCCGCCGCAGUAAAAC